CGCACCAGUGGUCGUUGUGGCGUUCUGUUUCCUACACCAGUGUGGUAAUUACUACUGAUGUUUAUCACGAGGAACUAGGUUUCCUGCUAAUACUAUUGAUUUUUAUCAGGAGGAACUAGGUUUCCUGCUACAAAAUGAAGGCAGGGAGAUAUACAGAGAGUCUGGGGAUUGCUCACUAGGUCUCUUGGUGCCAUCAUGCCUGGUGACAAUUGUGGAUGGAAAAUUGCCACGACCACAGCCUGAUAAGCACAGAGAAAUCAAGGGCGCAGAUUCUUUGGAGAUGAAAGUCUGGGUCACCGCAGCAGGCAAACAACACAGGCCAGCAGGCCUAGGAUUCCAGCUUGCCACCAUAUUGAAGGGGAUUUUGUAACUCACUGGACUUACUUGAAGGGAAAAGGAGACACAGGGAACGGGCUCUUGCCUGCCUCUCCUAAUCCUCUUAUUCUGAUUUUAGCUGUGGAGCCUAGCUCCCAUGAAGUCCUCAACCAGAUUCAUUCAGGUGAAAUCUCAUGAAAAUGCUGAGGGGAGAGAACCUACAAAAUCUGAAGAUGAAUCCACUGAAGAGAAAAUGAUUGAUAGCAAGUUCCUAAGGAUGGACAAAAGACCAAGCUUAAAGAAGGAAGGACAUGAAAGGAGAGGACAAACUGAAGAAAUUCAGGCUGAAUUAGAUAAUCCUCUUAGUCAAGUGGAUGGCUAUGUGUGACCUGUCUGCUAUGGUCAGGUAGACAUGGUGUUGGGAGUUUGAUGUCUUGUCAAGAGAGAACAAACAGCAGCAUCUGGCACCACAGUAAGAAACACAGUGGACGGGUUAUUGAUUAUCUUAAAAUAUCUUGUAACAACUUCUGUCUAAUACUUCCAAAGAGCUAUUAAUAAUCUUACCCACUAAAAAAAACACUGUCAUUCUUACUUAAUGAAAAUGUAUUCUCUGCCACAGCUGCUAGUAUCUUACCAACAUCUGUCCAUGCCUUAUGGAAGAGUUUGUUUUCCAAAUGAAACUAGAAUAACAAGCCUGACAUUUAAUAUACUUAAUAUGCAGUCUGUCUCAUGACGCAUCAAUGAAUUUAUUUUCGAUACAAAAUCUGGAUGAAAAUCUUUGGGUCAUAAAAGGAAAUUACAAGUAUAAAUAUAUUUGAAAUAUGGUUCCAUAAAUAACAAUGUCAUGAAUUUAUUAAUAGGGUUACUAGUUCAUCUGAAGCCUUAUGAUAGCGCCCUUUAUUAGAAGUAUGAUUUUACUUUAAUAAUAAAAGUUACUGUGUAGAUUUGAUUACAUGUUUGAAUUUUCCAUUGAAUUAUUUAUAUAAAAGUCAUGUUAUGAUGAUUACACAAUGAUGUGAAUGCUCUUAAUGGCAUUGAACUGUACAUUUAAAAAUGGUUA